rnacentral:rRNA from 1 species
GACGAACGCUGGCGGCGUGCUUAACACAUGCAAGUCGAACGGAAAGGCCCUGCUUUUGUGGUGUGCUCGAGUGGCGAACGGGUGAGUAACACGUGAGUAACCUGCCCUUGACUUUGGGAUAACUUCAGGAAACUGGGGCUAAUACCGGAUAGGAGCCCCUGCUGCAUGGUGGGGGUUGGAAAGUUUCGGCGGUUGGGGAUGGACUCGCGGCUUAUCAGCUUGUUGGUGGGGUAGUGGCUUACCAAGGCUUUGACGGGUAGCCGGCCUGAGAGGGUGACCGGCCACAUUGGGACUGAGAUACGGCCCAGACUCCUACGGGAGGCAGCAGUGGGGAAUAUUGCACAAUGGGCGGAAGCCUGAUGCAGCAACGCUGCGUGCGGGAUGACGGCCUUCGGGUUGUAAACCGCUUUCGCCUGUGACGAAGCGUGAGUGACGGUAAUGGGUAAAGAAGCACCGGCUAACUACGUG